GAAGGUGUUGGGUCAGAUGCCAUUUCAGGAAGGGGCCAGUUGAACCCAGGACUUGGAGAAGCUAUCGGUUGGCUUUAUCUCGGGGCUCCCAGUGCUGAAAUCACAUAGUGACUGUAUGAAUGACAACUGUGUGAGAUAUCCAGGGUCCAGGAGCCAUGGUCAGUCUGGCUCAACAAGUCCUCACCUCAGAGACACAAAGCCUGAAAGGAAGCAAGCCUGCCCUUGAGGCUGCUCGGCAGGAUAUUCAGUGACUGAAUUCAUUCUUUACAGACCGUCCGUGGGGAAAGACUAAGCAGCUGUUGAGAGAAUCCAGGCACUUGCUUUCCAUAUACUCUGCUUCUCUACCGCUGUUUUUUUCCAGUGGAGGUGGUGAGGAUGCCUGGUGUUGGAGGGCCAUUGUCGGACCUGUUAAUUUCCUCCUGUACCACUGCAAAUCUGAAAUCUGAAUGACUCGCAGGGACCAGCCCUCCUGGGUCCUUCCAAAGGCUCUACCCACCUUGCCAUCCCUGAGGUUCAUCUUCCGUGGUCCCUGGAAGCUCCUGUCUAGCUGCACCAGGGCUGCCCCUCUGGCCUUGGACCUCUAUCAAUACCUUUGCUACUGAUGUCUGUCCUAGCUGCCUGGAAUCUUGCUGUCUGCUUUUCAACCAAAGGAUGAGAAGCUCCUGGGAGGAAUGUGUC